GACGAACGCUGGCGGCGUGCUUAACACAUGCAAGUCGAACGGAAAGGCCCUGCUUUUGUGGGGUGCUCGAGUGGCGAACGGGUGAGUAACACGUGAGUAACCUGCCCUUGACUUUGGGAUAACUUCAGGAAACUGGGGCUAAUACCGGAUAGGAGCUCCUGCUGCAUGGUGGGGGUUGGAAAGUUUCGGCGGUUGGGGAUGGACUCGCGGCUUAUCAGCUUGUUGGUGGGGUAGUGGCUUACCAAGGCUUUGAGGGGUAGCCGGCCUGGGAGGGUGACCGGCCACAUUGGGACUGAGAUACGGCCCAGACUGCUACGGGAGGCAGCAGUGGGGAAUAUUGCACAAUGGGCGGAAGCCUGAUGCAGAAACGCCGCGUGCGGGAUGACGGCCUUCGGGUUGUAAACCGCUUUCGCCUGUGACGAAGCGUGAGUGACGGUAAUGGGUAAAGAAGCACCGGCUAACUACGUG
rnacentral:rRNA from 1 species